rnacentral:misc_RNA from 1 species
AACGCACCUUGCGCUCCUUGGUAUUCCUCGGAGCACGCCUGUUUGAGUAUCAUGAAAUUCUCAAAGCAAGUCUUUUGUUAAUUCAACUGGCUUUUGUUUUGGAUUUGGAGGUCUUGCAGAUUCACGUCUGCUCCUCUUAAAUGCAUUAGCUGGAUCUCUAUAAAAUCGGUUCCACUCGGCGUGAUAAGUAUCACUCGCUGAGGACACUCUUGCAAAAGGGUGGCCGGAUUCAUGGACGAACCGCUUCUAACGGUCUAUUAGAUUAGACAAACACACUUUAUGAUCUGAUCUCAAAUCAGGUGGGACUACCCGCUGAACUUAA